AACGAACGCUGGCGGCGUGCUUAACACAUGCAAGUCGAACGAGAAGUACGUAGCAAUACGUAUUGUAAAGUGGCGCACGGGUGAGUAACACGUGGGUAAUCUGCCCUCGAGUUUGGGAUAACCCCGCGAAAGCGGGGCUAAUACCGGAUAAGACCACAGGGACCAAAGUCCCUGAGGUAAAAGAUGGCCUCUACUUAUAAGCUAUCACCUGAGGAUGAGCCCGCGGCCCAUUAGCUAGUUGGUAGGGUAACGGCCUACCAAGGCGAUGAUGGGUAGCUGGUCUGAGAGGACGAUCAGCCACACUGGAACUGAGACACGGUCCAGACUCCUACGGGAGGCAGCAGUGGGGAAUAUUGCGCAAUGGGCGAAAGCCUGACGCAGCAACGCCGCGUGGGGGAUGAAGGUUUUCGGAUUGUAAACCCCUUUCGAUCGGAACGAAUCUCCUCCUGGUAAAUAAUCAGGAGGAUCGACGGUACCAAGAGAAGAAGCCACGGCUAACUCUGUGCCAGCCGCCGCGGUAACAC
rnacentral:rRNA from 1 species